GGCCAGACUCCUACGGGAGGCAGCAGUGGGGAAUAUUGCACAAUGGGGGGAACCCUGAUGCAGUGACGCCGCGUGGGUGAAGAAGCGCCUCGGCGCGUAAAGCCCUGUCAGCAGGGAAGAAAAUGACGGUACCUGAAGAAGAAGCCCCGGCUAACUACGUGCCAGCAGCCGCGGUAAUACGUAGGGGGCAAGCGUUAUCCGGAUUUACUGGGUGUAAAGGGGGCGCAGACGGCGAUGCAAGCCAGGAGUGAAAGCCCGGGGCCCAACCCCGGGACUGCUCUUGGAACUGCGUGGCUGGAGUGCAGGAGGGGCAGGCGGAAUUCCUGGUGUAGCGGUGAAAUGCGUAGAUAUCAGGAGGAACACCGGCGGCGAAGGCGGCCUGCUGGACUGCAACUGACGUUGAGGCCCGAAAGCGUGGGGAGCAAACAGGAUUAGAUACCCUUGUA
rnacentral:rRNA from 1 species